rnacentral:rRNA from 2 species
UACAUGCAUGUCGUGCGGACCUUUUAAAAGCUUGCUUUUAAAAGGUUAGCGGCGGACGGGUGAGUAACACGUGGGCAACCUGCCUGUAAGACUGGGAUAACGCCGGGAAACCGGGGCUAAUACCGGAUAGUUUUUUCCUCCGCAUGGAGGAAAAAGGAAAGGCGGCUUCGGCUGCCACUUACAGAUGGGCCCGCGGCGCAUUAGCUAGUUGGCGGGGUAACGGCCCACCAAGGCAACGAUGCGUAGCCGACCUGAGAGGGUGAUCGGCCACAUUGGGACUGAGACACGGCCCAAACUCCUACGGGAGGCAGCAGUAGGGAAUCUUCCGCAAUGGACGAAAGUCUGACGGAGCAACGCCGCGUGAGUGAAGAAGGCCUUCGGGUCGUAAAACUCUGUUGCCGGGGAAGAACAAGUGCCGUUCGAACAGGGCGGCGCCUUGACGGUACCCGGCCAGAAAGCCACGGCUAACUACGUGCCAGCAGC